AGCGGAGGAAAAGAAACCAACAGGGAUUGCCUCAGUAACGGCGAGUGAAGCGGCAACAGCUCAAAUUUUAAAGCUGGCGUCUUCGGCGUCCGCGUUGUAAUUUGGAGAGGCAUCUUCGGUUUGGGCGCCAGCCUAUGUUCCUUGGAACAGGACGUCACAGAGGGUGAGAAUCCCGUGCUUGCUGGCUGUCCCAUUCCAUGUGAAGUGUCUUCGACGAGUCGAGUUGUUUGGGAAUGCAGCUCAAAAUGGGUGGUAAAUUUCAUCUAAAGCUAAAUAUUGGUGGGAGACCGAUAGCGCACAAGUAGAGUGAUCGAAAGAUGAAAAGCACUUUGAAAAUAGAGUUAAAAAGUACGUGAAAUUGUUGAAAGGGAAGCGCUUGAGACCAGACUCGGCUGGUGAUGAUCAGCUGUCCUUCUGGGCAGUGCACUUGUCGCCGGCCGGGCCAGCAUCGGUUGAGACGGCGGGAUAAAGAUCUCGGGAAUGUGGCUCCUUUCGGGGAGUGUUAUAGCCCGGGGUGCAAUGCCGCCAGCCUCGACCGAGGACCGCGCUUCGGCUAGGAUGCUUGGCGUAAUGGUCUUCAGCGACCCGUCU
rnacentral:rRNA from 1 species